AUGUUCUUUGUCAAUGGAAGUUUCAUUUUCCCAGAAUGUAUCCUAUUUGGCCUAAUUCUUCUUCUGAUGACCGAUUCAACCUCUGAUAAAAAAGAUAGACCGUGGUUCUAUUUCAUCUCUUCAACAAGUUUAGUAAUAAGCAUAACGGCCCUAUUGUUCCGAUGGAGAGAAGAACCUAUAAAUAGCUUUUGGGGAAAUUUCCAAACGAAUAAUUUCAACAAAAUCUUUCAAAUCUAUGUAUUCAUCUAUCCGUAUAGUACAUUGAAUGUACAAAAAUGGCUAUAA
rnacentral:rRNA from 1 species